GUCCACGCCCUAACGAUGUCGACUAGUCGUUCGGAGCAGCAAUGCACUGAGUGACGUAGCUAACGCGUGAAGUCGACCGCCUGGGAGUACGGCCGCAAGGUUAAACUCAAAGGAAUUGACGGGACCCGCACAAGCGGUGGAUGAUGUGGAUUAAUUCGAUGCAACGCGAAAACCUUACCUACCCUUGACAUGUCUGGAACCCUGGUGAGAGCCGGGGUGCCUUCGGGAGCCAGAACACAGGUGCUGCAUGGCUGUCGU
rnacentral:rRNA from 1 species